GAUGAACGCUGGCGGCGUGCCUAAUACAUGCAAGUCGAGCGAACAGAUGAGGAGCUUGCUCCUUUGACGUUAGCGGCGGACGGGUGAGUAACACGUGUGUAACCUACCUAUAAGACUGGGAUAACUUCGGGAAACCGGAUCUAAUACCGGAUAAGAUUUGGAACCGCAUGGUUCUAUAGUGAAAGAUGGUUUUGCUAUCACUUAUAGAUGGACCCGGGCCGUAUUAGCUAGUUGGUAAGGUAACGGCUUACCAAGGCGACGAUCCGUAGCCGACCUGAGAGGGUGAUCGGCCACACUGGAACUGAGACACGGUCCAGACUCCUACGGGAGGCAGCAGUAGGGAAUCUUCCGCAAUGGGCGAAAGCCUGACGGAGCAACGCCGCGUGAGUGAUGAAGGUCUUCGGAUCGUAAAACUCUGUUAUUAGGGAAGAACAACUGUGUAAGUAAACGUGCCCGUAUUGACGGUACCUAAUCAGAAAGCAACGGCUAACUACGUG
rnacentral:rRNA from 1 species